rnacentral:rRNA from 1 species
GAGUUUAAACGAAUUCGCCUUGAGUUUGAUCCUGGCUCAGAAUGAACGUGGCGGCGUGGAUUAGGCAUGCAAGUCGAGCGAGAAGUUUUAAAAAGAUGCUUCGGUUGAUUUUUAAAACGGACAGCGGCGAAAGGGAGAGUAACGAGUAGAUACGUACCCAAGGGUUCGGGAUAGCCAUGCGAAAGCGUGAGUAAUACCGAAUAAUGUCUCCGGACCAAAGAUUUAUCGCCCUUGGAGCGGUUUGCUUACUAUUAGCUUGUUGGUGGGGUAAAGGCCUACCAAGGCUUAGAUGGUUAGCGGGUGUGAGAGCAUGACCCGUCUCACUGGGACUGAGACACUGCCCAGACACCUACGGGUGGCUGCAGUCGAGAAUCUUCCGCAAUGGACGCAAGUCUGACGGAGCGACGCCGCGUGCUGGAUGAAGGCCCUCGGGUUGUAAACAGCUGUCGUAGGGGAGGAAAUUUUGACCGAUCCUAGGUGGAAGCACAGGCUAAGUUCGUGCAAGCAGCCGCGGUAAUACGAACUGUGCAAACGUUAUUCGGAACCACUGGGCUUAAAGGGUGCGUAGGCGGGUUGGUAGGUCAGAUGUGAAAGCCCACGGCUCAACCGUGGAAUUGCGUUUGAAACCACUAGUCUUGAGGGGAUCAGAGGAGAGCGGAACUGAUGGUGGAGCGGUGAAAUGCGUUGAUAUUAUCAGGAACACCGGUGGCGAAAGCGGCUCUCUGGGAUCCUUCUGACGCUGAGGCACGAAAGCUAGGGGAGCGAACGGGAUUAGAUACCCCGGUAGUCCUAGCUGUAAACGAUCUGUACUAGUCCGUGGGGACUCCCACAUCUUCUCGGACGUAGCGAAAGUGUUAAGUACAGCGCCUGGGGAGUUAUGGU